rnacentral:misc_RNA from 1 species
GUUGCUGAGUCUUAUAAAUACAUUUCUUUUUAUGUUCUUAUCUAACUAUACAUGUUAGUGGAUCAUAGUGGUUGCUACAAGAACUUUCUCACUGGGGAUCUAGUGUUGAGGGCACUGGGGAUCUAGUGUUGAGGGCACUGGGGAUCUAGUGUUGAGGGCUUUCUUGGUCAAGUCAAAAUAUCAUUGGAAAAGGUUCAACUUGUUUUUCUCCAGAUAGCAUAAUCUUGAGGACAAUUAAUACAUUUGAUUUCAUAAUAAAUAUAUGUGUUCAUCUAAUAUGUUAGAGCCGCACUGCCAGAAUCUCUGUGAAGGAGACAGAAAGAGCCCUGGCCAAGUGUUGGAGAAAUUUCAAUGCGCUUAUAACAGCAUUGAUUUACACAAUGGUGACACCAAAAUGGCACACAUCAAUUUUUCCUUGUGCAUUGAUUAUUGGUAAUCUGAGUUGUCCAACUUGCAUUACAUAUGCAAGGAAGAUAACUCUUCCGUAUAAAAAAAAUUAUGAUUUGUCUUGGGCAUUGCAUUUACUUAAAAAAAGCAUUUGUCUGGAUAUAAAAAUCUUUGUUUGCUAAAAAUGAAUAAAAAAAAUUGUUAUAUUUACUGAAUAAAAUAUUAAUACAUUAUUCCAUGACUUUUUUAUAUUUAUAAACAUAAUGGCCAUAAGGGAUCUAUAUAUACAUUUAAAACAAUGAAAUAAUUGUGGUUAUAUA